rnacentral:rRNA from 1 species
GACGUAGGGGGCGAGCGUUGUCCGGAAUUACUGGGGCGUAAAGAGCACGUAGGCGGGAACUUAAGUCAGGUGUGAAAGACCGUGGCUCAACCACGGGUAUGCAUUUGAAACUGGGUUUCUUGAGGGCAGGAGAGGAAAGCAGAAUUCCUGGUGUAGCGGUGAAAUGCGUAGAAAUCAGGAGGAAUACCAGUGGCGAAGGCGGCUUUCUGGACUGACCCUGACGCUGAGGUGCGAAAGCGUGGGUAGCAAACAGGAUUAGAUACCCGGGUAGUCCCUGAGCGGG